rnacentral:rRNA from 1 species
UACAGAGGGUGCGAGCGUUGUUCGGAAUUAUUGGGCGUAAAGAGCUCGUAGGCGGUCUGUCGCGUCUGCUGUGAAAACUCGGGGCUUAACCCCGGGCCUGCAGUGGGUACGGGCAGACUAGAGUGCGGUAGGGGAGACUGGAAUUCCUGGUGUAGCGGUGAAAUGCGCAGAUAUCAGGAGGAACACCGGUGGCGAAGGCGGGUCUCUGGGCCGUAACUGACGCUGAGGAGCGAAAGCGUGGGGAGCGAACAGG